rfam:Octopus bimaculoides Scaffold12729_contig_16, whole genome shotgun sequence.
CUAACGGCCCUUUUCAGGGCCCACUACAUCAUAAUUUUAGUCUACU